AAAGACGAGACGUCACCAUUUUGGUGUCCGCAUCAAAUAUAAUUUACAAAAGUGAUUUUACAUACAAAAAAAAACAUAUAAAAUGCAAGUAAAAUGUCUACUUUUAUGUUUCAAAUAACUUUUGUGAAAAUACAAUGACCAAAUAUGAGUUUAAUAAUGCUCCAAAGUGUAAAAUCGUCAUUCAGCGUAAUGGUCCGGACUAUGAUUUUACUAAUACAUUUUUAAAUAAACGUAUAAAAUACCAUGUUAAAAAAAAAAUUUGCUUCCUUGGCAUGUUCACAUAAGUGUUGGCUGUUUUAUAUUAAUAGGACUAUGUGUUAUUUUUUUCGUUAAAUAUUGAAACAACUAGGGGACUUUUGUCCCGAAUAUGCAGUUUGUCAGAGGUCAUUCAGUGUAACGGGAUCAGGAAACCAUUUUGAAAUUAAAUACACAAACAAUACUCAUCAAGCAGUCUGUGACAUCAUCAAAAGACCCCCUGAAGACCAUGUGGUGAUUCAGCAAGAUGCCCACAAACAAAAAGUUUCUAGGCACUGGCAGAAAGUUAAUGCAGACCCAGUAGCUAGGGCAAUGCAUUUAGCAAGGAGACGAGAAAGGUAUUGAGGAGUGCAAUGUAAAAAUAAUAGGGCUGGGUUUAAAAAGAUAGAUUUCUCGAUUUUAAUCAAUUCUAAUUUUGAAGAAACUAUAGUGAUUUGUAAAUCACAAUAAUCGAUCUUUCAGUCUAUGCUGUUUUCAGAUGAUGUUAAUCAAUAUCAAAUUGAUUUGAAAUUGAAUCAAAUCGUGAAAUUUGUGUCCAAGCCUAGCCCUACAGAAUAAUAGUUUACUGCUGUUUUUAGAUAGAGACUCCACCCUACCUAUACCACAAGUUAAAGGGAUAGUUCACCCAAAAUGAAAAUUUGGUCAUUAUUCACUCACUCUCAUGUUGGUAAAAACCUGUAUGAAUUUUUUUGUUCUGAUAAACACAAAGGAAGAUAUUUUGAGUAAUGUUUGUAACCAAACCGUUCGUGCACCCCAUUUACUUCCAUAGUAUUAUUUUUAGUAUCAUAGUAUGGGGUCCACAAAAGGUUUGGUUACAAACAUUUCUCAAAAUAUCUUCCUUCCAUUUAUGCGGGUUUGAAACAACACGAGAGUGAGUAAAUGAUGACAGAAUUUUCAUUUUUGGGUGAACUAUCCCUUUAAGAGAGGCCACUGAGGGGAUUCUCCGCCCAUAAUACAAAUCCUGAUAACAUGUCAUUUAUGUUGCCAAACAGAAAGUAUUUUUAAUUAAUAACACGUUUUAUAUAGAUCUAUGUCAAUAAUUUUAUGUCAAUAAUUACAUGGAAUCUGUAUUUCAGCAACCAGAGAAGAAAGCAAGCUGCCUUGGCUGCAAAUCCUGAUCACCCGUCAAUCAGGAAUUUAUCAGAUGCUGCAGCUGAGAAGAGGCAAAAGCAAUGGCGGGAAAAUCAAAGAAAACACAGGGCAGAAGCUAAACGUAUAAGGGCAGUUCUGGAUCUUAUUAUACAGUAUUACCACCUGUUCAGUUAAUUUUUACGAAUAUGAUAUGUAUUGUGGAAUAAAAUGAUUAUUAAUUUCA